CACGGCGGCCCCGCCCCAGGGCCGCGCUCUCAGCGCCGCCGCCGGAGGGAGGCAGCCGAACGGAGCGGGGGGAUGCGCUGUGCCUAUGUGGCCCGGGCUGCCGUGGCCGCUGGGCCGCGGAGGGGCUGUACGUUUGUGGCAGUAACAGCUCUUUUCAAGAGCCCUUUGCGCCUCAUUUCCAGAGUGCGUCGGCGCUGUAGUCGUGCCUGGCUCUUGGCGGUCGUUGCUUUUGCAGCAGUUGCCGUGCACGUUUUAUCUCUCAGUAGUACCUUUCUCCCUCUCGGCCGGUACUGCAGAAAUACCGGUGUUCAACCCGUGCUGACGUAUUUCUUUCACAAGAAACUGUAAAUUGAGCAUUCUUGGCUUUCUUAAUACCGUUUUUUCACUGUUAAAGGAAAGAACUCUGCUGCUGGAGCAGUAGGAAGUGAUAAGAACAGCGGGAAACAAUAAGAAAACUUUCUGGUCUAGCAAGGAAUUUCCUCCUGGGGGAGAUUUCUUCAGUCUCUGCGAGGAUGAAUUCGGUUACAGCGGGAGUCAGUGCUCCGCAUAGCAGCCGGCAGCCCCGAGCUCUCAGUUUUUAGGAAUGUGGUUUGCUUGCAUCCUCUCUGAGUUUGUGUCAUUUCUAAAGUGCAGACACCAGAACUUACGCAGUUCAAAUGUGCUUCUCAUUACUCCAAUGUAAAAAGAGCAUCGCCCAGGAUGUGUAAGGUGAGCUGCCUCUCUGCUAUUCAGAUUCUGCAGAGGAAAAUGAUCCAGAAGACGAUCAGUAAGGAAGGUAUAAGCUCCAUUUUGGUUUUGAAAUUGCUAUGGUUCUGUCUUCUAUAAGCCUGAGACUCCCCAGGAUUGGUGUCAGCUUUAGGAUGCUAAGGCACUGGAGCGCUCCUUCGUAGACACAGUUCUACAGCCAGGUUGGAUGCCAGAACUUCCUACAGCCAAGAAAGUAGAGAUGGAAGAUAGUUACUUCUGGGACAGAAAUUCUGGCCUUGCUGCUUCUGAUUGGAAACUUACAUUUAUUCUAGGUUCUUAAGCUACAUGUUUAUUCAAGUAAUAUCUUUUUAUCUCAAGGGGGAAAAAUAAGCAACAAAUCUGUAAACAUUUAAACAUUUCAUGGAAAUGAUUUCAGAAACAAAGACAGCUCUUAUGUUGAAAAACAUAAAUUAUCUGUGUUUCCAAGUAGGAUUUUUUUCAUUAUUUGGCAGGAAGAAAACAAAAUACAUAUCUGUGAAUCAGAAAAAUAAUUCAGUAGCUGGAGCCUUUUUGCUUUUUCCUUAAUGUAUCUGGCAAACUUUUGGAGGACUUUGAAAUGAAGAGUUUUUAACAUUUUUAUUAUGUUUUACCUUCAGAACAAUGCAGUUUUGGUAAGCAUUCUUUCUGAACCUCAGCCUAGUGCUUGACAUGCUCUGAAGCUGUGUUUUCAGUGAUUUGAUGGAUAUUUUAUGAGAAAGCUUCUGACUUGUUACAUACUAUCUACAUUGUCCAAGACAUGCUGCAAAUGAAGAGAUGGACACACUGGAUUGGAAGAAACAAGACUGCAACUUUAUAUAGCAACAAUAACUGCACAAGAGGAGCAGGCAGACAAUUCUUGCCAAGUUCUCAUCUUGUUUCUCCAUGUGACCUUCAGGCCAGUAAGCUCCCACUGGGUUUUGAAAAAAGUGUCUUGAGCUCUCUAAGAUCAAACCAUCUCUUCAGAUGUGGCAUUCUUUUUGUGUUAUGACAUAAAUUGUGUCAGAAUUGCACACUGCAACUUGACCAACAAAAUCUGGGCUGCUUUAAGUUGAAACAAAGGAGUUACUUUCUCAUGAAUUGUUCAGGUUUUUUUUUAAUGUCUGAACAGAUUUAUAUUAGUAUUUCCAUAAACAUCAUCUCAUUUUUCAUGAAAGUUGUCAAGUACAUAGCUAAGUUCAAUAAUAAAUGAUCACAGUUAUGUGAAUGGAUGUAAUAUGUAUUAAAAUAUAGUA